UGGGGAAUAUUGCACAAUGGGCGAAAGCCUGAUGCAGCAACGCCGCGUGCGGGAAGAAGGCCCUAGGGUUGUAAACCGCUUUCAGCAGGGAAGAAAAUGACGGUACCUGCAGAAGAAGGUGCGGCCAACUACGUGCCAGCAGCCGCGGUGACACGUAGGCACCAAGCGUUGUCCGGAUUUAUUGGGCGUAAAGAGCUCGUAGGCGGUUCAGUAAGUCGGGUGUGAAAACUCCGGGCUCAACCCAGAGACGCCACCCGAUACUGCUGUGACUUGAGUACGGUAGGGGAGUGGGGAAUUCCUGGUGUAGCGGUGAAAUGCGCAGAUAUCAGGAGGAACACCAGUGGCGAAGGCGCCACUCUGGGCCGUAACUGACGCUGAGGAGCGAAAGCGUGGGGAGCAAACAGGAUUAGAUACCCCCGUAGUCCCUGAGCGGGCUGGCAAGGCGCAU
rnacentral:rRNA from 1 species